UUUGCUAGAGUCAGUCGCCUGGGAGGGCAUAGUUCCAGGGCAGGCCUGUUCUUUGGGCAGAAGGUGCUUUCAAGGCAUAAUGCUGCUGCAUUCCGCGAAAGAGGCAUGAGUUUGAAGCAGAAGAGUUUGGGACACUCAAAAGCUUAUUUUGAAGAUCAAAAGUCCGAGAAGCAGGAUCUUGGGUAAACCGACCUUUUGCCCAUAAGUACCACGCGGGAUCCAGCUGCAUCGGAAGAGGGUUCUGGGCAUAACGCGACUUCGGUUCGGGGAAGAAGUAUGAGCACAGCUACAGAGCCAAUUGGAGAUUGAAGCAGCAUGUUACAAAAGCUUAGAUGAAGUUUGAAGUUGCUCAAGGCAAACCGACCCUUUUUCCCAUAAGUACCGCGCGGGACCCAGUUGCAUCAGAAGAUGAUCGUGGGCAGAAGGUACAGAAAUGCCAGAGCAGCGAAGUCGGCUUUGCCAGAGGAAUCAUCCGAGCAGCGGAAUCAGCUGGGCAGAAGGUACAGAAAUGCCAGAGCAGCGAAGUCGGCUUUGCCAGAGAAAUCAAGCUGCCAGCGGAAUCAAAGUGCCAGAGCAGCGAAGUCGGCUUUGCCAGAGGAAUCAUCCGAGCAGCGGAAUCAGCUGGGCAGAAGGUACAGACGGGGCAGAGAAGAAGAGUGCAGAGGAUGUAGAUAAGGAAAGAUAUCCAAAACCUUAUCCCUUGAGGUUUGGAUAAGAACAAAUCAGCCUCCAGAUCUGGAUGCAAU
rnacentral:lncRNA from 1 species